GGCAGAGUGGCCGAGCGGUUAAGGCGUAACGUUUAGGUGGAAUUCUCGACCAUCCGUUAUGGGAAACCUCGUGGGUUCGAAUCCCACCUCUGUCA